rnacentral:rRNA from 1 species
UUUGAAAGGGAAACGAUUGAAGUCAGUCGUACCUAUGGGUAAUCAGCCUUUUGGGUGUGAUUUUGUGGAGCGUGAGGAGUUAAACGCCUUCAUGCCUGCAUAUUCGUGCACUUUGGGUGUACUUGCCCGUGUGUAAGUUAACAUCAAUUUUGGUGGUCAUAAAAUGGCUGGAGGAAUGUAGCUUCGAUCUUGUAUUGAAGUGUUAUAGCCUUCGGUAGAUGUGACGAUCGGGAUUGAGGAUUGCAACGGAUACCCUUCGGGGCUACCUGUCUGAUCUCUGAUUGUUGCUCUGGUGCCGAAAGCUUGCUUACGGUUAUUAAAGUCGAUGGUCAAUAGGUUAGAAUGGGUUAAAUUCGUUAAG